rnacentral:rRNA from 1 species
GCCAAUGCUAGCCCUAAGCACAACCAACACUAAUACCAAGCCAACACACACUAAACCAUUUACCUACACAAAGUAUAGGCGAUAGAAAUUUUAAUCUGGCGCUAUAGACACAGUACCGUAAGGGAAAGAUAGAAAACCACCCAAGCACAAAACAGCAAGGACUAACCCCUGUACCUUUCGCAUAAUGAAUUAGCUAGAAACAAUUUCACAAAGAGGACUACAAGCCAAAUCCCCCGAAACCAGACGAGCUACCCAAAAACAGCUAAAAGAGCGCACCCAUCUAUGUGGCAAAAUAGUGGGAAGAUUUCUGGGUAGAGGUGAAAAGCCUACCGAGCCUGGUGAUAGCUGGUUAUCCAAGACAGAAUCUUAGUUCAACCUUAAGCUUACCUAUAGAACUACCUAAUCCCCCUGUAAGCUUAACUGCUAGUCUAAAGAGGGACAGCUCUUUAGACACUAGGAAAAAACCUUACUGAGAGAGUAAAACCCUCAAUCACCAUAGUUGGCUUAAAAGCAGCCAUCAAUUAAGAAAGCGUUCAAGCUCAACACUAACCACCACAAAAAUACCAAACACAUAACUGAACUCCUCACACCACAUUGGAUUAAUCUAUCACCAUAUAGAAGCAAUAAUGCUAGUAUAAGUAACAUGAAUAUUUUCUCCACCGCAUAAGCCUAAAUCGGACCGAAAGCCUCACCGAUAUCUAACAGCCAGGCAUAACAAGCACAAACAAGCCCAUGCCACCUUCACUGUUAACCCAACACAGGCAUGCCUCAAGGAAAGGUUAAAAAAAGUAAAAGGAACUCGGCAAACUCAAACCCCGCCUGUUUACCAAAAACAUCACCUCUAGCAUUACUAGUAUUAGAGGCACUGCCUGCCCAGUGACACACGUUUAACGGCCG